UGAUGUGCUGAGUGGCGGACGGGUGAGUAACGCGUGGGUACCUGCCUUGUACAGGGGGAUAACAGUUGGAAACGGCUGCUAAUACCGCAUAAGAUCGCAUGAUAAAAACUCCGGUGGUAUAAGAUGGACCCGCGUUGGAUUAGCUAGUUGGUGAGGUAACGGCCCACCAAGGCGACGAUCCAUAGCCGACCUGAGAGGGUGACCGGCCACAUUGGGACUGAGACACGGCCCAAACUCCUACGGGAGGCAGCAGUGGGGAAUAUUGCACAAUGGGCGAAAGCCUGAUGCAGCGACGCCGCGUGAGCGAAGAAGUAUUUCGGUAUGUAAAGCUCUAUCAGCAGGGAAGAUAAUGACGGUACCUGACUAAGAAGCACCGGCUAAAUACGUGCCAGCAGCCGCGGUAAUACGUAUGGUGCAAGCGUUAUCCGGAUUUACUGGGUGUAAAGGGAGCGCAGGCGGUGCGGCAAGUCUGAUGUGAAAGCCCGGGGCUCAACCCCGGUACUGCAUUGGAAACUGUCGUACUAGAGUGUCGGAGGGGUAAGCGGAAUUCCUAGUGUAGCGGUGAAAUGCGUAGAUAUUAGGAGG
rnacentral:rRNA from 1 species